UUCAAGAGUACGUGAAACCGCUCAGGGGUAAACCUGCGAAACUCGAAUGAACGAACGGGGAGAUUCAUCGUUAUUCAGCGGCGUGGCGGCGCGCUCUCUCGAUGCCGCGCGGUCUCGGCCGUGCGGUACGGGGCGCGUCGUUACUACGUUCGCCGACGGCGUGCACUUCUCCCUUAGUAAUGCAUCGCGACCCGUUCGAUGUCGGCCUAAGCUCCGUUCGGGAGUCGCCGUUGUCAACUUUCGGGUUGCAGCGGCGACCGUGACGGCGGCCGGCCGGCUGUCGGACGGUAUUUGUACGGAUCGCGUACGCGUUAACGCGCGUCCGGCCCGACGCAAGGUUGCGUCUGUCACCCCCGUCCUGCCAGAGCGCGGGCGGGGGUGCGGCGCGCCUGGUGUCGCAGCCGUGCUGUCUCGGACUGUACGCGUGCCGUGUCUGCGAUGAUUCAGUUUCGGGCACUCGCAGGACCCGUCUUGA
rnacentral:rRNA from 1 species